ACAAAUUUACAGCUUAUUAUCUAUCAUUCCGAGGUUGAGCCUCCUUUUUGACUAUACUUAUUACGUUAUUAUACAUCCAAAAGUUCAACCAUCACCCGUAUCAUGUCACAAAUAAAUAUUAAUAAAUAGCAAGUAAUUAAUACCGAGCAAUAUUAAACAGAGGAUCACUACUUUUUGGGAUCGACUUCUCAACUGUCCCUGUGAGAUAGCCUCUGACUAUUUCGAUUACAGCUCUUUACUCGCAAAAGUACUCGUAGACCACUUCAUCAACUGAAGGAGUACUGGUUGAGACACCGGUGUCCCGUAAGAAAAUGCGAACAGAUACUGUUGUAGUUCUUCUGACAUCUGUCUACAGUCGGAUAAAUUUAGACGCCUUAGCAAUUUAGAUAACCUAACGUAUUUUAACUCUACCGCUCUGUAGCAGGAAAACGAUAAAUUAGCAUCAGAUCGCUGCGUUGUCAAUUUGAGAAUACUAUCUUCAAAUUUAUCUCUAUGUAGAUUUCCACCUUCAUAUAAUAUGUAUCAAAUGUUACAACAUAAAAAAGCAAAACCCAGUAAUAAUAGGUGGAAUGAGCUGAAAAACUCACUGCUUAAGCAGAAGGUGGAUGGUUUCAACUCAUUGACAUACACAUAUAAGGUAAUGAAAAAGGAGUUUUAUACUCAUAUUAUGGUGUAAUGUACAAUAAAAUUAUGUUAAAUUUAAUAAACAUUUGUCACACUUUUAAAUUUA